UACGUAGGGUGCAAGCGUUGUCCGGAAUUAUUGGGCGUAAAGAGCUCGUAGGCGGUUUGUUGCGUCGGCUGUGAAAACCUGAGGCUCAACCUCAGGCCUGCAGUCGAUACGAGCAGACUAGAGUGUUGCAGGGGAGACUGGAAUUCCUGGUGUAGCGGUGAAAUGCGCAGAUAUCAGGAGGAACACCGGUGGCGAAGGCGAGUCUCUGGGCCGAUACUGACGCUGAGGAGCGAAAGCGUGGGGAGCGAACAGG
rnacentral:rRNA from 1 species